GCGGGGGAACAGGGAACAGGGGCUAAAGAGCAUUUCAAAAUCGAAAAGCGUUGCGAAACGGGGAAAAUUUGUUUUUCCUACAUAAGUUAACACAUUGCCGCCAGCCUGCAGCGCGCUUAAUUUCAAACAGGAUUUACGAGGUUGACACACAUUUACCGGGAUGAAAUGGUAUGGUGUGGCAUGGUAUGGUGUGGCGGGACUAGGGAUGUCAGGGGACACACACGAGGACCUACUGGCUGGAUGAGGAUGAAGAUGAGGAAAUUGUGAAAAGAGCAAAUCGCUUGUGACGAACCCGAAUUUUCAACGCUCGACUGACGACUUCCCCUGUGCGAUGCGUAGAAGACGCCAAGGUGCGAAUGAAAUGUCCUUUUUGGCUCAGACCAGCUCAGCUCAGGCGAGUUCUUUAUGUCCGGUGAUCUUCAGCUGCCCCGGGGCUCUGAUCCGAUACGAAUCCAAAUCCGAAUCCGAUCUUGACUGUGUGGCGUGGCGAAUGUAAAUGUGUCUUGCAACGCAAAAUUGCUCGCUCAAUUGCGUUUUGGGAGGAACUCAAGAACAGAAGAACAGAGUGGCUUGUCUGUAAUUUGUUGCAUGCCUCGGACGCAAUUUGCCGGCCACCUCAAGUGGAAUCCGGGCAUUAAUAUUCAAUUUUCCAAGUGCAGUACUUAGAGCAGCUUAGAAUAGCCCAGCCUGUGGACUCUGAAGUCGAGUGCCUUCGUCGGCCCAAUUAGCUGCAAUUGUUGGCUAUUGACCUGCAUGCAAAAUAGCCUGCCACAUCUGCUCUACAUUCAUUUUUCAGCUGGCCACAGAUUGCAGUCAGCUAGACAAGUCGGAUUUAAAUAAGGAACAUGAAGAUGUAACUAAAAUCUAUGUAAAUUUGAGAACGAU